rnacentral:lncRNA from 1 species
UCAUUCUGGAAACUUCCAGAAGCGCUACUGAUCUGAGAAGAAUCUAGAAGGAAGUUGUGUUAGGGUUUUUGUGAAAUCGUUAUCUCUGUACAACGGAUAUGUACAACGGAGCUAAGACUAGGGUUAGGACGGUGGGGGGUGAAACAGACCAUUUUCCUGUGGUAAUGGGGCUCCAUCAAGGAUCGGCGCUGAGCCCAUUAUUGUUCGCCUUAGUGAUGGAUGCUCUAACCCGACAUAUCCAAGGGGAUGUGCCUUGGUGUAUGCUCUUUGC